CCUACGGGUGGCAGCAGUGAGGAAUAUUGGUCAAUGGACGCGAGCCUGAACCAGCCAAGUCGCGUGAAGGAUGACGGCCCUAUGGGUUGUAAACUUCUUUUAUACAGGAAUAAAUUGAGGCACGUGUGCCUGUUUGUAUGUAUCUUAUGAAUAAGGAUCGGCUAACUCCGUGCCAGCAGCCGCGGUAAUACGGAGGAUCCGAGCGUUAUCCGGAUUUAUUGGGUUUAAAGGGUGCGUAGAUGGUUUGUUAAGUCAGUUGUGAAAGUCUGCGGCUCAACCGUGAAAGUGCAAUUGAUACUGGCAGCCUUGAGUGCAGUUGCGGUAGGCGGAAUGCGUGGUGUAGCGGUGAAAUGCAUAGAUAUCACGCAGAACUCCGAUUGCGAAGGCAGCCUACUAAACUGCCACUGACGCUGAUGCACGAAAGUGUGGGGAGCAAACAGGAUUAGAUACCCGAGUAGUC
rnacentral:rRNA from 1 species